rnacentral:rRNA from 1 species
UGGGGAAUAUUGGGCAAUGGGCGCAAGCCUGACCCAGCAACGCCGCGUGAUUGAAGAAGGUCUUCGGAUUGUAAAAAUCUGUCCUUGGGGACGAAAAAAAUGACGGUACCCAAGGAGGAAGCCCCGGCUAACUACGUGCCAGCAGCCGCGGUAAUACGUAGGGGGCAAGCGUUGUCCGGAAUUACUGGGCGUAAAGGGUGCGUAGGCGGCGCUUUAAGUCAGAUGUGAAAUACUCAGGCUUAACCUGGGGGGUGCAUUUGAAACUGGAGCACUUGAGUGCAGGAGAGGAAAGUGGAAUUCCUAGUGUAGCGGUGAAAUGCGUAGAUAUUAGGAGGAACACCAGUGGCGAAGGCGACUUUCUGGACUGUAACUGACGCUGAGGCACGAAAGCGUGGGGGGCAAACA